rnacentral:rRNA from 1 species
UACGUAGGGGGCGAGCGUUGUCCGGAUUUAUUGGGCGUAAAGAGCGUGUAGGCGGUUCGGUAAGUCUGUCGUGAAAUCCUGAGGCUCAACCUCGGGCGUGCGAUGGAUACUGCCGGGCUAGAGGGUGGUAGAGGAGAAUGGAAUUCCUGGUGUAGCGGUGAAAUGCGCAGAUAUCAGGAAGAACACCGGUGGCGAAGGCGGGUCUCUGGGCCGAUACUGACGCUGAGGAGCGAAAGCGUGGGGAGCAAACAGG